CAGACCUGAAAUCAGGCGAGGUUACCCGCUGAACUUAAGCAUAUUAUUAAGCGGAGGAGAAGAAAAUAACUAUGAUUCCCUUAGUAACGGCGAGUGAACCGGGAUCAGCUCAAAGUGGAAAUCAACUGCCCUUUCCGAGCUGUUGACUUGUAGCCUCGAGAGGCGUUACCAGUGGAAGCGCAGGGUUAAGUUUCUUGGGAAAGAACAUCAUAGAGGGUGAGAAUCCCGUCCUUCCCCUGCGUUUUUUGUUCCACGUACGGUACGCUUUUAUAGAGUCGCGUUCAUCGGGAUUUGAGCGCAAAAUGUGUGGUAGGUUUCACAUAAAGCUAAGUACUGGCGCGAGACCGAUAGCAAACAAGUACCGUGAGGGAAAGAUGAAAAGUUCUUUGGAAAGAGAGUUAAAAGUGCCUGAAAUUGCUGAAAAGGAAGCGAUUGGGACCUUUUUGAUUCCAAGAAGUGCCGCCGGUUUGCCAUCUAUCCCUUUGCCUUCUCUCUCUCACCAGGUUUAGGCUUUGGUUUCUUGAUGUAUUUCCGGUUCAUCUUUUUGGAGAGGUCAGCAUCAGCUACUCGGAAUUGAUUUCGUUCAAAGAAGGUAGGUUCCUUGUGGACCGUUAUAUCUUUGUUCUUUCCUUUUCCUUGUGGCUGAGGAGUGUUCCUGUUUCCGAGCUCCACUUUCGAGUACUCGGUUUCUGUGAUGCUGGCUUAAUCGGUUCCAACCGACCCGUCUUGAAACACGGACCAAGGAGUCUAACAUAUGUGCGAGUAUGCGGGUUUUACUCCUGUAUGCGCAAUGAAAGUGAGAGUAGGGAGAUUUUGGCUUUGCCAUUCUUCGCACCUACGACCGACCACGAUCUCUGAGAGAGGUUUGAGUUGGAGCAUAUCUGUUAGGACCCGAAAGAUGGUGAACUAUGCCUGAGUAGAAUGAAGUCAGGGGAAACCCUGAUGGAGGUUCGUAGCGAUACUGACGUGCAAAUCGUUCGUCAAAC